AACUUUUGCAAUAACUACCUGUGUGUGAAUCUGAACCAGUGUUUAUGCAAAUGUCCGGAUCACUGGUGGCAAGAAAUAAUUUUUCUUUUGUUUUCCGCAGAUGUUUUGUUCUUCUCCUGUACAGUCUUUCGUCUGGUUUACGGACAAUAAACGAUCUCGGCUGCUCAUGUUCCAUAAUGACCACAGCUGGCUGCCACAUCUCUUCUCUUUGCAUCCUUACAUUUUCACCUGCCUCCAGAGAGGAGGAUCUUUUCUCCAAUUUCAUCAUGAGUCAUGGGCCACCAGGGAAAAUCUUCCAUCUGUCCAGAACCACUACUGGCCAGCAAGUGGCAGUAUAGUCUCAGCUUGAUGAUGAAAAUAGGUCGUGGGGGGUGCUGGAGCCUAUCUCAGCUGCAUUCAGGUGGAAUGUGGGGUACACCCUGGACAAGUCGCCACCUCAUCGCAGGGCCUCUAGUUAAUUGUAUCAUCUAUUAUUGUACCUAUUAAAUUGGUUUAUUUUAC